rnacentral:rRNA from 1 species
CAGCCCUAAACGAUGCGCGCUAGGUGUAUCGGUGACCACGAGUCACCGAGGUGCCGAAGGGAAACCGUGAAACGUGCCGCCUGGGAAGUACGGUCGCAAGGCUGAAACUUAAAGGAAUUGGCGGGGGAGCACCACAACGGGUGGAGCUUGCGGUUUAAUUGGAGUCAACGCCGGAAAUCUCACCGGGAGCGACAGCAGUGUGAUAGCCAGAUUAAAGGUCUUGCUAGACGAGCUGAGAGGAGGUGCAUGGCGUAGUCGUGU